rnacentral:rRNA from 1 species
UACAGAGGGUGCGAGCGUUAAUCGGAAUAACUGGGCGUAAAGGGUGCGUAGGCGGAACGCUAAGUCAGAUGUGAAAUCCCCGGGCUUAACCUGGGAAUGGCAUUUGGGACUGCAAGGCUGGAGUGCGGCAGAGGAGACUGGAAUUCCUGGUGUAGCGGUGAAAUGCGCAGAUAUCAGGAGGAACACCGGUGGCGAAGGCGGAUCUCUGGGCCGUAACUGACGCUGAGGAGCGAAAGCAUGGGGAGCGAACAGG